rnacentral:rRNA from 1 species
AGCGAACGCUGGCGGUAGGCCUAACACAUGCAAGUCGAACGGCAGCACAGGAGAGCUUGCUCUCUGGGUGGCGAGUGGCGGACGGGUGAGGAAUACAUCGGAAUCUACUUUUUCGUGGGGGAUAACGUAGGGAAACUUACGCUAAUACCGCAUACGACCUACGGGUGAAAGCAGGGGAUCUUCGGACCUUGCGCGAUUGAAUGAGCUGAUGUCGGAUUAGCUAGUUGGCGGGGUAAAGGCCCACCAAGGCGACGAUCCGUAGCUGGUCUGAGAGGAUGAUCAGCCACACUGGAACUGAGACACGGUCCAGACUCCUACGGGAGGCAGCAGUGGGGAAUAUUGGACAAUGGGCGCAAGCCUGAUCCAGCCAUACCGCGUGGGUGAAGAAGGCCUUCGGGUUGUAAAGCCCUUUUGUUGGGAAAGAAAUCCAGCUGGUUAAUACCCGGUUGGGAUGACGGUACCCAAAGAAUAAGCACCGGCUAACUUCGUGCCAGCCGCCGCUGUAAAAC